rnacentral:rRNA from 1 species
CGCCUUUGGAAAAGAUCGAAGGUCCUGCCUGCCCGGUGAUUUAUUAUUAAACGGCUGCGGUACUCUGACCGUGCAAAGGUAGCAUAAUCAUUAGCCUGUUAAUUUUAGGCUGGAAUCAACGGCAAGACGAAGGAUAAGCUGUCUCUUUAUAUUAUAUCUUGAACUUUACGUUCUGGUAAAAAGGCCAGAAUUAUUUAGCGGGACGAGAAGACCCUAUUGAGUUUUAAUUAAGUUAUAGAGAUGUAAAUUUUAUUACUUAAUUUUGGUUGGGGCAACGAGUUUCUUAAUUAAACGAAACUAAAAAUAUGAAUUGAAUCAGGUUUGGACCCUAAUUUUAAGUUUAGGAAAAAAGAAAAAAUUACCAUAGGGAUAACAGCGUAAUUCUUUUUGAGAGUACUUAUUGACAAAAGAGUUUGCGACCUCGAUGUUGGAUCAGGAAAACCUGGGGAUGCAGCAGUUUCCAAGGGUUGGUUUGUUCAACCAUAAAAAUCUU